rnacentral:rRNA from 1 species
GUUUGAUCAUGGCUCAGGACGAACGCUGGCGGCGUGCCUAAAACAUGCAAGUCGAGCGGGAGUUUCCUUCGGGAAACUUUUAGCGGCGGACGGGUGAGUAACACGUAGGUAACCUACCUCGAAGCGGGGGACAACCCAGGGAAACUUGGGCUAAUACCGCAUAAGACCACGAUCUGGGAGGGUUGUGGUAAAAGCAGCAAUGCGCUUUGAGAGGGGCCUGCGGCCUAUCAGGUAGUUGGUAAGGUAAUGGCUUACCAAGCCUAAGACGGGUAGCCGGACUGAGAGGUUGAACGGCCACACUGGAACUGAGAUACGGUCCAGACUCCUACGGGAGGCAGCAGUGGGGAAUUUUGCGCAAUGGGGGAAACCCUGACGCAGCGACGCCGCGUGGAGGAUGAAGGUUUUCGGAUUGUAAACUCCUUUUGUAGGGGAAGAUAAUGACGGUACCCUAUGAAUAAGCCACGGCUAACUCUGUGCCAGCAGCCGCGGUAAGACAGAGGUGGCAAGCGUUGUUCGGAAUUACUGGGCUUAAAGGGCGCGUAGGUGGUGGCAUAAGUCCGAGGUGGAAGGCUAAGGCUUAACCUUAGAAUUGCCUUGGAAACUGUAUCACUUGAGUCAGCGAGGGGAUGGCGGAAUUCCAGGUGUAGCGGUGAAAUGCGUAGAUAUCUGGAGGAAGGCCGGUGGCGAGGCGGCCAUCUGGCGCUGAACUGACACUGAGGCGCGAAAGCGUGGGGAGCAAACAGGAUUAGAUACCCUGGUAGUCCACGCCCUAAACGGUGGGUACUAGGUGUAGGGCUCGCAAGGGUUCUGUGCCCGUAGGCAAACCAUUAAGUACCCCCGCCUGGGGAGCACGGCCGCAGGUUGAAACUCAA